rnacentral:rRNA from 1 species
UUGGAGGCAGCAGUAAGGAAUAUUGGUCAAUGGGCGAAAGCCUGAACCAGCCAUCCAGCGUGCAGGAAGAAGGCCCUAUGGGUUGUAAACUGCUUUUAUCAGGGAAGAAACCUCUGGAUUCACUCCGGAGCUGACGGUACCUGAAGAAUAAGCACCGGCUAACUCCGUGCCAGCAGCCGCGGUAAUACGGAGGGUGCGAGCGUUAUCCGGAAUUACUGGGUUUAAAGGGUGCGUAGGCGGCUUUGUAAGUCAGGAGUGAAAGUUUGCGGCUCAACCGUAAAAUUGCUUCUGAUACUGCAUAGCUAGAAUUAGGAUGAGGUCAGCGGAAUGUGGCAUGUAGCGGUGAAAUGCAUAGAUAUGCCAUAGAACACCAAUUGCGAAGGCAGCUGGCUAGACCUGGAUUGACGCUGAGGCACGAAAGCGUGGGGAGCGAACAGGAUUAGAUACCCUGGUAGC